GCCCGGAUGGCGGAAUUGGUAGACGCACUAGUUUCAGGGACUAGCGCUCGCAAGGGUGUGCAGGUUCGAAUCCUGUUCCGGGCA
rnacentral:tRNA from 1 species